CGUUGCUUUGGUUAGGUUCGUUUCGUUUUCGUUACAUUAGCUACAUUUUUAUCCGUCUGGACCACAAACCGUCGAAAGUACGGCCAUUUUGAAACCAUGGAUAACAGUAUCCGCUAUCCUGUUUCGAUAUUUGACCACGCGAGUUAAUAGUAGUAGUAACAGUAAUAUGUUAACUGCCAAUAUUCCAAUUUACUAGUAUUUCGAUAUUUUUGUCGUAAUCUUUAGGCACUAUGCGGAAGGAACCGGCUCCAUCUGACAGGUUCGGAUUAGUCUACCGCUGUGAAAAAGUACAGCAGAAAAAGAAGAUCAGGAGGUGGACUGGUGGCACCGUCUUCAGGGCUAUGUGCACUGGUUCCCUGUCUUGCACCCACAACACCUUUUUCGAAAGGACACAGCUGUCAGCCCGAGAGGUGCUGAUGCUUAUUUAUUCAUGGGUCAAGCAGGAGCCGGUCACCGUCGCCGCGGAGGAAUGCGGCGUGGCCCCCAAAACAGCGGUAGAUUGGUACAAUUACUGCCGUGAAGUUGCGGAGGUUUUCGUCUCCCACCAGCAAAACAUCCAGCUCGGGGGUGAAGGCAUGCACGUCGAGAUCGACAAGACCUUCACCCGGAGGCGAAAAUACAACCGCGGCCGCAUAAUUAAAGGCACCCAAAUUACCAUCUUCGGUGCCUAUUGUCGGGAAACAAAAGAGGUGAUGUAGUGGCAUGGAAGUAGUAGCGAAGCAUUAUUAUUUCCUUUUAUUUUUUAGUUUUUGUGGAAGUUUUGUUAUAGUUUCUCGUAUUCUUUCAGGUGGACAACAAGAGCCGACGGGUUCUCUGGAGCCAGAUGCUCAGAUACAUCGCCCCCGGUUCCAUCAUUGUUUCCGACAGCACGGCCCAAUAUCGCGGUUGUACGAUGAUGGGCUUCUCUGGACAUAAGACCGCCAAUCACAGCCAGUGGGGCCCCGGGAGAUUUGUCGACGCCGGUGAUCCCGAGGCCCACACUCAGUACAUCAAGUGCAGAAAUCGCUGACUGAAGAAGUCCAUCAAGUCGCUCCGCACGGACAGGAGCCUGCAGAGGUACAACUGUACGUACGUGCACAGGAUGCGGGUCCUGUCCCAGUUGC